GCCCUAGAAAAAAUCUAAGGUGUAACCUGCCCAAUGGUUUAAAAGUAAAAAUGCAUAAAAACAUUGAAUAAAACUUAAAGGACGCAGUAACCUUGACUGUGAUAAUGUAGCAUAAUCAUUCGCCAUUUAAUUGAUGGAUAGUAUGAAUGGUUGAACGAAUAUUCCACUGUCUUAAGAGAAAACGAACAAAAAUUAAAAUAAUAGUUAAGAUGCUAUUUCAAACUGUAAGACGAAAAGACCCUAUAGAGCUUAACUACAAUCUUUCUUACAUCAUAAAAAAGAGAUUUAAAAAGAGGAAGACGGGUAGUUUAGUUGGGGCGACUGUCUUCUAAAAAUAACGAAGACAAGCAAAGUUAAUAAAAAACUUAUUGUAUAAUAAAUAAAUUUAACAAUUACAAUAGUAGGCUAUAAUGACCCGUUAAGAAAUCAUAGAAACCUUAACGAUCAAUAAAUAAAAGCUACCUUAGGGAUAACAGGAUAAUUUCAUUCUAGAGAUCCUAUCGAAAAUGAAGUUUGUCACCUCUAUGUUGAAUUAAGAUAUCCUGAUAAUGCAGAAGUUAUCAAAGGUAGGUCUGUUCGACCUUUAAAAUCUU
rnacentral:rRNA from 1 species